UAUGAAAAGGGAAUAUUUCUUCUUGUCGAUAUUAGUUCCUGGGCCAAAACAUCCAAAGAAAAGUCUAGACAUCUAUCUUCAGCCAUUGAUUGAAGAGUUGAAGAGUUCGUGGAGUGAUGGUGUUGAAACGUACGAUAUAUCACAAAAACAAAAGUUUACGAUGAGAGUUGCAUUGAUGUGGACAAUCAGUGAUUUUCCAGCAUAUGGCAUGGUCUCUGGUUGGAUGACCCAUGGCCGUUUAGCAUGUCCAUACUGUCUCGACGAGACACAAUCGUUUUGGUUACAAAAUGGAAGGAAGCAUAGUUGGUCCGAUUGCCAUAGAAAGUUUUUGCAGAAAGAUCAUCCUUAUAGACGAAAUGUGCAAGCGUUUAGAAGAGGAAAAACAGUUACAUAAGAUCCUCCACCAUGGUUGAAUGAAGAAGAGGUUCUAUACGAAAGAAUAGAUAACAUUGUUGGGUUAUCAAAAACAGUUGAUUGUGGAGGAAAUGGACAUGAGAAGCCUGCUCGAACUGUAAAUGAAUAUAAGGUUCAUCAUAAUUGGGUCAAAAAGAGUAUAUUUUGGGAGUUGCCGUACUGGGAGAAUCUUCUUCUUCGACACAACCUUGAUUUCAUGCAUGUUGAGAAAAAUUUCUUUGAUAAUCUCAUCAACACAGUAUUAAAUGUUCCAGGAAAGACCAAAGACAACAUAAAAUCAAGGUUGGAUCUCUUAGCAUUGUGUAGAAGAUCGAGUCUUCAUAUACAACAAGAUGGAAUGAUGCCUGUGCCAAACUUUAGGCUAUCAAACGAAAGUAAACGAGAAUUCCUUCUAUGGUUAAAAAAUUAUAUAAGAUUUCCAGAUGGGUAUGCAUCGAAGUUUGGUCGUUGUGUUGAUAUAAAUCAAUGGAAGUUAUCAGGUCUCAAAAGUCAUGAUUGUCACGUUAUCAUGCAACGACUUCUCCCAUUUGCGUUUUUGGAACUUCUUCCCAAAAAUGUUCACACGGCAAUUUCAGAUAUUGCACUCUUCUUUCGAGAUAUAUCAGCAAAGAUUUAACGAAAUGAAGAUGUUACUCUUUUGAAAGCAAAUAUCGCGGUGAAGCUUUGUAACUUGGAGAAAAUAUUUCCUCCAUUGUUCUUUGAUGUUAUGGAACACCUUCCGGUACACCUUCCAGAUGAAGCUGCUUUAGGUGGUCCAGUUCAAUAUAGGUGGAUGUAUCCAUUUGAGAGAUACAUGUAUCAUCUAAAAAAGAAAGUCAAGAACAAGGCACACAUUGCAGGUUCGAUAGGAGCACAAUGUCUGAACGAAGAGAUUUCAAAUGCAUCAGCAAAUUACUUUGGACAUCCAGAAGUUAAAGAUGAACCAAUAGGUCCUGGAGAUAUUCAUUUUACAUAUGAUGAUCCAGAUGUGCUGAGCUUGUUUUGUCAUGAAGGUCGAGUUGGUGGGAAAGCAACAAAUAAAUGGUUAACAGAUGAUGACUACACCGUACUCCAAACGUUUAUGUUGCUUAGUUGUGACAAAUUUGAGGAUAACAUAUUUAAUUUCAGAACUAAAACUUUUUUUCUUUCAAAAACAGGGUGUUUGAAGAGCAUAUGGCAGAGCGUAACCCGGAAAUUACUUGUAACAAACUGCAUAUAGCAAAAGACCAACACUUUGCACAAUGGGUUAAAAACUACAUUAACAAUGCAACCGAGUCAUAUGAAUUUCCCUUGUGGAUGUUAGAUUUCGUACAAGGUCCAAGACGUAGUUAUUCAUCAUGGCCUAUAUAUUUCUCAAGAGGAUAUUGUUUCCACACACAUAACCAUGGACAAGAUAAGAAAACUCAACAUUAUGGCGUUUGUGUUCGUGGAACGACCGACAUGGAUUAUUACGGGCUAAUAGAGGAGAUCAUGAUGAUAAAAUACCAUGGUGUUGUUAGAUUGAAGGCUAUGAAAUUCAAAUGCAGGUGGUUUGAUACAACAGAAGGUCAGGGAAUGCGUAAACAUCCAGCAGGCAUUAUUGGUGUUUCACCAUGCAGAAAAUACCAUAAAUAUGAUCCAAUUGUAUUAGCUGGUAACUGUGAUCAGGUAUGU